GCUACGUGGUAGCGAGCAGCGGUGGUAACGCGGAGUGGGAGAAGUGUGGCCGGAAGAAGUGGGCGUAAGGGUGGUGGAGGAGGGUUGGCAAGUCAGGGGUGAAAGCACGGGGCGCAACCCCGGAAGUGCACGUGAGACUAGGGGGCUUGGGUGAUGAAGAGGAGAGCGGAAUUGCAGGUGUAUGGGUGAAAUGCGUAGAUAUCGGGAGGAACACCAGUGGCGAAGGCGGCUCUCUGGGCAGAUACUGACGCUGAGACGCGAAAGCAUGGGGAGCAAACAGGAUUAGAUACCCGAGUAGUC
rnacentral:rRNA from 1 species